UGGGGAAUAUUGCGCAAUGGCCGAAAGGCUGACGCAGCGACGCCGCGUGUGGGAGGACGCCUUUCGGGGUGUAAACCACUGUUGCCCGGGACGAAUGACGCUUUUCGAGGCGUUUGACGGUACCGGGUGAGGAAGCACCGGCUAACUCCGUGCCAGCAGCCGCGGUAAUACGGAGGGUGCGAGCGUUGUCCGGAAUCAUUGGGCGUAAAGGGCGCGUAGGUGGCCUGGUAAGUCUGUGGUGAAAGCGCGGGGCUCAACCCCGCGUCGGCCGUGGAUACUGCUAGGCUGGAGCACUGUAGAGGCAGGCGGAAUUCCGGGUGUAGCGGUGGAAUGCGUAGAGAUCCGGAAGAACACCAGGGGCGAAGGCGGCCUGCUGGGCAGUUGCUGACACUGAUGCGCGACAGCGUGGGGAGCAAACAGGAUUAGAUACCCCCGUAGUCC
rnacentral:rRNA from 1 species